rnacentral:ncRNA from 1 species
ACGAGCCACAUGCAGAGAAACUUGCACGUGUGGUUCUGACCGGGGUGAAGAACCCGAC